GCAUCUAGGAGUGCUCCCUUCAGAUCUCCUAGUUUUAGUUUAGAAGCAGAACUGUUGGUAAAUAUCUGCGAUUUCAUCCUUCUCAAAUAUGCGCUCCUAUCUUCAUCUAUCCCUUCUUUCUCCCAGCAGAUAUCCAAAUAGCGCAAAGCUUUUCGAUAUUUCCUAAGAGCCAUCUUGUAAUCUUGUUUCUUAAAAUUUUCAUUACCAAAUGCCUUAAUCGACUCUAGAGCGGUGACCCACCAAGGGAGAUCAUCAGUAUUAUUGUCAAGAUCAGCAGGCCAAUCAGGAUAUAGAUCACCGUCUUUGAAAAAAUUUGUGAUCCCGUCAUCAGCCCCCUCAGGAAUUUCUCCACAAUCCGCAAUACUGACAUCUACAGUUGGGCAAUCAUUAUCACCAGUAGUCACAUGUUCCAUAGAGCGGACAACCCCCAUUCCUUUGAUUACUCUUGCAAAAACCACAUGUUUUCCAUCUAAAUGAGAAGUUCGAGUAGUUGUGAUGAAAAACUGAGAUCCAUUUGUGUUAGGUCCAGAAUUGGCCAUAGAUAACAUCCCCUUCCUUUCAUGCUUCAAUUCAAAAUUUUCAUCCUCAAAUUUUAGCCCAUAGAUGGAUUCUCCCCCAGUACCAUCUCCAGCAGAAAUAUCACCACCUUGCACCAUGAAGCUCUUAAUCACACGAUGAAAACAAUUUCCCUUGUAAUGAAGGGGUACACCAGUAUUUGGACCAAUACCCUUUUCACCGGUACAAAGAGCCCUAAAAUUCUCAGCAGUUUUAGGAACA
rnacentral:misc_RNA from 1 species